CUUUGAUGCCAUCUGCAUCCACAUAUCAUUGGGCUCCACAUAUCAUUCCACAUAAUCUUUUUUCCACAAAUCUAGGACCCGCUAUCAAAAAAGUAGACCCAAUUUUAGCUCUAAUCUAAAAUAGGACGCUUGUAAAUCAAACCUAGAAAGAGCUUUUAUGGACUGUCUCUAAUAUCGUCAAUUAAAAACAUACUAUCAGCAACUUGCCUAUAAAGUCUGUCCUUUACAAGCUAAAGAGCAUAACAAACAAAUUAAAAUAUGAAGUCAAUAAUUUCCCACACUACCAUCACAAAACGAGAAUGGCCACAAAAAACUCCAACUUUAGAUAGUCAUAAUAAUAGUGCUACAGACCUAUGAAAAUUCUCUUUUUCAACACAAGUAUGAUGCCAAACCAAGGCACUCUUCAUAUGAGGCAAAACUACAACAAAAAAUUCACCCCAAUUACCUAGACAGUUGUGAUUCAUGGAUCUAUUGUUAAAUUUAUUGAUAUAUAAAAUUGAAUCCAUAAGAAAACAUUAUCCUCAUUUGCUAAACUAGUAAC
rnacentral:misc_RNA from 1 species